GGACUACCCGGGUAUCUAAUCCCGUUUGCUCCCCUGGCUUUCGCGCCUCAGCGUCAGAAGAGAUCCAGUCCGUCGCUUUCGCCACCGGCGUUCCUUCGGAUAUCAACGCAUUUCACCGCUCCACCCGAAGUUCCACGGACCCCUACCUCCCUCGAGAUCUCCAGUCUCCGAGGCACUUCCCCAGUUGAGCUGGGGGCUUUCACCCCGGACUUGAAGACCCGCCUACGCGCCCUUUAAGCCCAGUGAUUCCGAACAACGUUCGCACGGUUCGUCUUACCGCGGCUGCUGGCAC
rnacentral:rRNA from 1 species